CAGCCGCCGCGGUAAUACGGGGGGAGCAAGCGUUGUUCGGAUUUACUGGGCGUAAAGGGCGCGUAGGCGGCGCAACAAGUCACUUGUGAAAUCUCCGGGCUUAACUCGGAACGGUCAAGUGAUACUGUUGUGCUAGAGUGCGGAAGGGGCAACUGGAAUUCUCGGUGUAGCGGUGAAAUGCGUAGAUAUCGAGAGGAACACCUGCGGCGAAGGCGGGUUGCUGGGCCGACACUGACGCUGAGGCGCGAAAGCCAGGGGAGCGAACGGGAUUAGAUACCCCGGUAGUCCUGGCCUUAAACGAUGGAUGCUUGGUGUCUGGGGUUAUAAAGUCCCCGGGUGCCGUCGCUAACGCUUUUAGCAUCCCGCCUGGGGAGUACGGUCGCAAGACUGAAACUCAAAUGAAUUGACGG
rnacentral:rRNA from 1 species